rnacentral:lncRNA from 1 species
CGCGGGCCCAUGGAGUGUUACUACAUUGUCAUCAGCUCCACGCGCCUCAGCAACGGGCACUUUCGCAACAUCAAGGGAGUUUUCCGAGGCCCUCUCGGCAAGAACGGGAACAAAACUCUGAGGAAAGGAGAGAGAAUGAGAGAAGGGAGGAGAAAAGUACUUUGUAACAUUUGUGAAGGGAAUAAUCAGGAGGGAGCCUUGGAGUGGCCCAUUGCCAUGACUGUACUUAUCUAG